AGAGUUUGAUCCUGGCUCAGAUUGAACGCUGGCGGAAUGCUUUACACAUGCAAGUCGAGCGGCAGCGCGGGGCAACCUGGCGGCGAGCGGCGAACGGGUGAGUAAUACAUCGGAACGUGCCCAGACGUGGGGGAUAACUACUCGAAAGAGUGGCUAAUACCGCAUACGAUCUGAGGAUGAAAGCGGGGGAUCGCAAGACCUCGCGCGUCUGGAGCGGCCGAUGGCAGAUUAGGUAGUUGGUGAGGUAAAGGCUUACCAAGCCUGCGAUCUGUAGCUGGUCUGAGAGGAUGAUCAGCCACACUGGGACUGAGACACGGCCCAGACUCCUACGGGAGGCAGCAGUGGGGAAUUUUGGACAAUGGGCGAAAGCCUGAUCCAGCCAUUCCGCGUGCAGGAUGAAGGCCCUCGGGUUGUAAACUGCUUUUGUACGGAACGAAAAAGCUCCGGCUAAUACCUGGAGUCCAUGACGGUACCGUAAGAAUAAGCACCGGCUAACUACGUGCCAGCAGCCGCGGUAAUACGUAGGGUGCAAGCGUUAAUCGGAAUUACUGGGCGUAAAGCGUGCGCAGGCGGUUUUGUAAGACAGAGGUGAAAUCCCCGGGCUCAACCUGGGAACUGCCUUUGUGACUGCAAAGCUGGAGUGCGGCAGAGGGGGAUGGAAUUCC
rnacentral:rRNA from 1 species